GUCGGAGGCGCUGGCGGGCGUCGCUGACGAGGACGGCGAUGGGAGGUCGCUGUCGCUGUCGUCGUUGGUGUCGUCGUCGGUGUCGAUGUCGAUGUCGAUGUCGAUGUUGAUGUUGAUGUUGAUGUUGUUGGGUUUGCUCGACGUG
rnacentral:miRNA from 1 species